rnacentral:rRNA from 1 species
GCGGCAGGCGAUAGCACGUUGUAUGCAUCAGUUCCCCAUGGAUCACUGAAGUUAAGCAACGUCGCGCCUCAUAUCCGGAUGGGUGACAUGGGAUAGGUCACUGGUCGCU